rnacentral:lncRNA from 1 species
GAGCCUCUUCAAAUGACAGCAAAUUGCUUCAGUCACCUGGGAUGUUCCUGAGGGAGCAGCGGAGGUGGAGGGAAGGUGAUGAGGUCACCCACCUCUUGUCCGGCAGUGACAGAGCCUGGCUCCUUCAGCAGGCACCCAGCUUCUGAUCCACACCUUUCUUCCUCUUCUCUGGUCCCUGCUGUCCCUAAACCUCAGGAUCCUCUUUCCCCCAGGGCUGAAAGGGCAAUUGGCUUGGAUAGGUCAGACACCCCCAAUCUUCCCCCCCUGGGGUUUUGGCACUGUGCACCCUGAAUUCAAAUCCUGACUCUGUCACACCAGUGCUGGGUGAUCCUGGGCAAAUUACUUAACCUGUCGGAGCCUCACUUUUCUCCACAAACCAUAAAUCAGCCUAAGGCCCACUCCGAUGAGAUACUGUGUGGCUAACAAACAGUAGGUGUUCCAUCAAUCCUGACAAGUAUUAUUAUCAUCCCUGAAAGGCUGAUGGGAGUAAAUUCCCCCCGAAGCUUCCCUUGCAGAUGGCCCCAUCUGUUCUAGGUGCUGAGGCGCCCUUCAGCCUCUCGGAGACCUGGAGGGGGGGCAAGGCCCCUUGGGACUCCCAGGCAGCUCUUCUCACUCCCCCCCCCCACCCGUGCAUGAAAUCACAGGCGCCCCAAUCUGUCUGCAUCCACUUCAUCUGCCAGCUCAGCAAAUGCAGAGACAAUUAAGGAGUUAAUUAGCAGGCAGAUGGGAAGGGGCUGGGGACCCAAGGCUGAGGGGACCCACCCACACACCUCUCCCCUACCCCUUGGGGGUGACCCCAGCUUGCCCUGGAGCACUGCACUUACCAACCUGGUUUCUUCCUUAUG